rnacentral:lncRNA from 1 species
UAACAGGCUUGCCGGCUGGCAGGUGCUUCGGAUGCCUCAUGUCUUAAAACCUGUUAUAAAAACAUUUCAUGCUGUUUACAAUCCAUAUCAAGGAAUUCUAAAUAGCUCCCUUCUCCUCCUCAUCAACCUUGGGGAGGCCACUGCUGGCCACCUUCUGAACAUCCCCGUCAGCUGCCCAAGGUUCUAUUGCUGAAAACUUCUUGUGCAUUUUUCUGACAUUGCUAAAUUCUAAAAAUAUUUGCAAAUAAUUUUGCUGUCAAUUCUGCUGCCAAAAGAAAUUUCUGCUGGCUUAACUUGACCUUCCUAAAGGUUCCUACCAAAAACCUGGUCAUCAUGCUUGCACCUUCAGUCUUCCCACUCAGUAGAUUGGUUGGCAGCAUUUUAUUGCCGGUGAGAAAUUAUGCGGCCAAGCCAGCCCCUGCUAAAAUUGUCUACAUGUGUAAAGCCUGCAAUAAGAAACAACAGAAACAAGAGAGCCGAGUGGCAUUUGUGAAGAACACAGUCAUUGUUCAGUGUGUGGGAUGCAGUAACAUUGAUGAUGACCUUAGAUGGCUGUCAAACAACAACAGCAAAGCUGAAAUUGAUGAAAUUAUUAAACAAAACGGCAUUAGGGUUAGUGGAGGACCAAGAAUUAGAUAAAUCCUAUUCAGCCAUUUCUGAAGGUUCCAGUCAAAUAUCUUUCAUGUUUGUAAUGGUGAUGGUUAUUUGACACAUUGAAUUUAGGGCAAUUAAUUUCACUAUUUUCACAAUUGCUUUUAUUUCACAAUUUAGUGCCAGUGAAAUGGUUACUUCUGCCUGUAUUUAGUCUGUGAAUAAAUUGUGCUGAAAAUCAUGACA